GUACACAAAAAUGCACAUAUUGUGAGCUCGAUGAGUAGGGCGGGACACGUGGUAUCCUGUCUGAAUAUGGGGGGACCAUCCUCCAAGGCUAAAUACUCCUGACUGACCGAUAGUGAACCAGUACCGUGAGGGAAAGGCGAAAAGAACCCCGGCGAGGGGAGUGAAAAAGAACCUGAAACCGUGUACGUACAAGCAGUGGGAGCCUCUUUAUGGGGUGACUGCGUACCUUUUGUAUAAUGGGUCAGCGACUUAUAUUCUGUAGCAAGGUUAACCGAAUAGGGGAGCCGAAGGGAAACCGAGUCUUAACUGGGCGUUAAGUUGCAGGGUAUAGACCCGAAACCCGGUGAUCUAGCCAUGGGCAGGUUGAAGGUUGGGUAACACUAACUGGAGGACCGAACCGACUAAUGUUGAAAAAUUAGCGGAUGACUUGUGGCUGGGGGUGAAAGGCCAAUCAAACCGGGAGAUAGCUGGUUCUCCCCGAAAGCUAUUUAGGUAGCGCCUCGUGAAUUCAUCUCCGGGGGUAGAGCACUGUUUCGGCAAGGGGGUCAUCCCGACUUACCAACCCGAUGCAAACUGCGAAUACCGGAGAAUGUUAUCACGGGAGACACACGGCGGGUGCUAACGUCCGUCGUGAAGAGGGAAACAACCCAGACCGCCAGCUAAGGUCCCAAAGUCAUGGUUAAGUGGGAAACGAUGUGGGAAGGCCCAGACAGCCAGGAUGUUGGCUUAGAAGCAGCCAUCAUUUAAAGAAAGCGUAAUAGCUCACUGGUCGAGUCGGCCUGCGCGGAAGAUGUAACGGGGCUAAACCAUGCACCGAAGCUGCGGCAGCGACACUAUGUGUUGUUGGGUAGGGGAGCGUUCUGUAAGCCUGUGAAGGUGGCCUGUGAGGGUUGCUGGAGGUAUCAGAAGUGCGAAUGCUGACAUAAGUAACGAUAAAGCGGGUGAAAAGCCCGCUCGCCGGAAGACCAAGGGUUCCUGUCCAACGUUAAUCGGGGCAGGGUGAGUCGACCCCUAAGGCGAGGCCGAAAGGCGUAGUCGAUGGGAAACAGGUUAAUAUUCCUGUACUUGGUGUUACUGCGAAGGGGGGACGGAGAAGGCUAUGUUGGCCGGGCGACGGUUGUCCCGGUUUAAGCGUGUAGGCUGGUUUUCCAGGCAAAUCCGGAAAACCAAGGCUGAGGCGUGAUGACGAGGCACUACGGUGCUGAAGCGACAAAUGCCCUGCUUCCAGGAAAAGCCUCUAAGCAUCAGGUAACAUCAAAUCGUACCCCAAACCGACACAGGUGGUCAGGUAGAGAAUACCAAGGCGCUUGAGAGAACUCGGGUGAAGGAACUAGGCAAAAUGGUGCCGUAACUUCGGGAGAAGGCACGCUGAUAUGUAGGUGAAGCGACUUGCUCGUGGAGCUGAAAUCAGUCGAAGAUACCAGCUGGCUGCAACUGUUUAUUAAAAACACAGCACUGUGCAA
rnacentral:rRNA from 1 species